UACGGAGGGUGCAAGCGUUAAUCGGAAUUACUGGGCGUAAAGCGCGCGUAGGCGGCUUGAUAAGCCGGUUGUGAAAGCCCCGGGCUCAACCUGGGAACGGCAUCCGGAGCUGUCAGGCUAGAGUGCAGGAGAGGAAGGUAGAAUUCCCGGUGUAGCGGUGUAAUGCGUAGAGAUCUGGAGGAAUACCGGUGGCGAAGGCGGCCCCCUGGACAAAGACUGACGCUCAGGUGCGAAAGCUAGGGGAGCAAACAGG
rnacentral:misc_RNA from 1 species